rnacentral:rRNA from 1 species
GAUGAACGCUGGCGGCGUGCCUAAUACAUGCAAGUCGAGCGAACGGACGAGAAGCUUGCUUCUCUGAUGUUAGCGGCGGACGGGUGAGUAACACGUGGAUAACCUACCUAUAAGACUGGGAUAACUUCGGGAACCCUUACCUAUUCCCGGUUAAUAUUUUGAACCCCAGGGUUCAAAAGUAAAAGCCGUUCUUGUUGUAACUUAUAAUUGAUUCCCCGCUGCAUUAGCUAGUUGGUAAGGUAACGGCUUACCAAGGCAACGAUGCAUAGCCGACCUGAGAGGGUGAUCGGCCACACUGGAACUGAGACACGGUCCAGACUCCUACGGGAGGCAGCAGUAGGGAAUCUUCCGCAAUGGGCGAAAGCCUGACGGAGCAACGCCGCGUGAGUGAUGAAGGUCUUCGGAUCGUAAAACUCUGUUAUUAGGGAAGAACAUAUGUGUAAGUAACUGUGCACAUCUUGACGGUACCUAAUCAGAAAGCCACGGCUAACUACGUG